GCUGUGACUCAGUGGUAUAGCAUCUGUGUGGCAUGCUGAAGGCCCUCGGUUCAAUACCUGGCAUCUCCA
rnacentral:tRNA from 1 species